CAGCCCCAAUCAAUCUUUUGUGCCCUAUGUAAAUCAGACACUGCCUCCUCAAGCUCAUCUAUAAAACUGUCUGCAUUUCACUGUGGAAGCAGUAACCCACUUCUCUGGGACCCUUCUCUCUGCAGCAGAGAGAGCUCAUCUCUUUCACCUAUUAAACUUCUGCUCAGAACCUCACUCUUUGUGUGGUCCAUGCCCUAGUUUUCCAUGGCCGUGAGACAGUGACACCACUUCAGUGUGAACUCUCAUGAACUGAGUCUAGAUCCCCAGUGCUGUCCGUCUCACCUGUCCUCCUCUACACAUAUCUGGGAUAUGUCACGGCUCUUUGAAGAUGUGGCUGUGAACUUCAUCCAGGAGGAGUGGGCUUUGCUGGAUUUUUCCAUGAAGAAUCUGUAGAGAUGUGAUGAGGGAAGCCAUCAGCACCUGUCUUCUAUAGCUGCAGUCCAAGAGGCCAACUGGAACAUCAACAUGAGACACUAAUCCAGCUGACUGGACACAAUUGGAAAAACUGGUUAUUUUACCAAGGCUUUGCCUGGAAUGGUGUGCCUUCCUUCGAGCAAUCAAAUUUGACUUAUGGAGCCAAUAAAGCCCUUGGAAAGCUGGCCUCAGAUUUUGUGUACACAGUCCCUGUACAGGGUUUCUGAUCUGUGGUAAGUAAAGAAUGUCACAUUUUGACAGGCCAGGAGUCCCAAGUUAUCUUGGAACCUCAAGAGGAGAGGAAUUCACCCAACUCAUAGGUAUUCAAUGGUACAAAUCCAUGGCUGGGCUUGCCUUUAAAAAGGUCUUAUCUCAGAUUCCUUCUACGAAACAAAGUUCCAUCAAAACCAAUUUAAAGGGCCUAUGUAACAUAAUUAUUCUUGCUCCACUGUAUGCAAAUAACUAAGCCAAGUAUAAUAAAGAAACUCAGUCCUACUAGCAUGAUUUGUCUUUUAAUGAAAAUAGUAAACUUGAGAGAGAAAAUUAUGCUUCAAAAACGAUAGCACACCUGUUGUUAAAUUCUAGUGUUGCCCAAUGUUUUUCAAAUCUUGCUAUUUUCUAUUUAAAUUAAAUUCUAAUUUUUCUGGCUACAAGUUUCCAAAACAGCUGUGCUUUCUAAAAGCCCUAUAAACUGAAAACUUGAUGUUUCAGCAGGCUCUGCCUCUAAGCCCCCUGACUCUCACAGGAGGAAAUAAAUAGGAAAUCUUAAGCUAAAAAUCAUAAAAAAAUAAGUAACCAAGGGAGAAUUACUCAUCCUAUUCAGUCUCACCCCUACCUCAUCAAAUACUUUUAUCAUCCCUACCUCUGUUUUUAAGUCAAAUAUUAACUUUUUAAUGAAAAUUAUUUACUGUGCCACCCUUGUGGGAAUUGCUUUACUCACUCUACUAUUUGCAGUAGGACUAUAUACUGUAGCACCCUCAGGGUAAAAUAUCAGACACAGAAUCUCAAUUACUAUAGCAUUUUGCUUAAUUAUUAUCCUCAUAGCAGGAAUAAUGGUUACUAGCAGAAAAUAACAAAUGGGCCUUUCCAAACCAGCACCUCUGCUCUCAUUAGGUAAGGAAUGUUGUUUCUAUAUCAGCCAAUCGGACCUAGUAAAAAGCGCUAUAAAAAAAAAGUUACAGAAAAAGCUAAAAAAGCUAAGGAGUACCAAAACAAGCAAAUAGAUUCUUAGUUUGGGAACAAAAUCAUAGCAUGGGUCAUCCCAUUCCUGGGCCCUCUCCUAAUAAUAUGCCUAAUUAUGGGACUACUGUUCUUACCCUGCCUAAUUAAGCUUUUUCAAAGAUUUUUUAAACUGACAGGAUCAUGGCCAUUUCACAGACAACUACCCAAAAACAUCUACAGACAGCACUGCUCCUAUAGUCAACCCGAAACCAGGGAACUCUCCGUCCCCUCAUCAGCAGGAAGUAGCCAGAAAGAACAUGCCGCCCCUCAUCCUUUUUAUAACUGUAAGGUCUGGAUUGAUGGCAGGAGCAUCACCAUCAUGGAUAAGCACCUCAUUUUAAAAUUCACCUUAAUCAAAAACUGCCUAAAUCCAAAGGGCAUCAGCCUAAUGGCUAAGGUCAGCAUGACCAUAAACCACACAUAACAUCUCCAACCAAAAACAUUCCAGACACCUCCCACAGAGACAUGCAACCUCGGGAUAACCCCUGUCCUGCCAGAAAGAUGUCACCCCCAAGAUAACUGCCCCUCUGCCCAGAACAUUCCAACCCCACCAUAAACUUCUCCCUCACACAGAAACAUUCUUCUUCCUCACACAGAAACAUUCUAAGCUUGUAAUAAGCUCCCUCACCCUAAAACCAAUAUAUGCUCUUAGUCUGCUAGGAAAAGUGCUCCUGACUGAAAUCAGCCAGAAGCCUCUCUCAGGUCUUUUCUAUAAUAAACCUGUCUUUGACUAUCAA